ensembl:miRNA mdo-mir-2970 mdo-mir-2970
GACAGUCAGUAGUUGGUCUGGUGUGAGCAGGAAUUCUCAGAUCACCUCUUGGCUGUGAG